CGCAGCGCCUCCUCGUAGUUCUUGGCUUUGUCCUCCUCUGUGGCUUUCGUCACCAGAUCAAUGGCUUUCUGGAAAGGCAAAGCAAAUGGCUCAGUGCUUCCUCGGAGAGGUGGAAAGUCCCUGGGGUCACAGGCAUGGGGAUGAAACGUGACGAGGGAUGCCGCUGGGCCUGUGGAUUUAUUGCUUGCGGGCCAUUUCAUUGGCCUACUUUUUCAACAUCGGCUAGAAAGGCCUUCAAAGAAGGCUUUGAAAACCAGCCGGCCAUCUUCACAAUAAGCUCAGACGGUUAAAAGCCACGCUCUGGAUUUCAGCAAGUGGAAACCUGACCUAAUAUCUCAGGUCAGGGCUCAAGGGGCAAGUUCAUGGGACUUUCUAUUCUGCUGCCUCAAGGGAAAGAGAAACAGACCCGAGCUGAGAGCCUGGCAGAAGGGACACGCGGGAGCAAGUGACUGCUGGUUUGUUUAGCAAGGAGACCAGAAAUUGCACCCGGCCUCAGGGCCAGAGAAGAGCCAGCCAGAAGGAAAGUCCUGCCCGGACUGCAAGUUUGCACAGGAUACACUGAAAGGCCUCUCUCCUCCUCCUCCUGGCUCCAUGCAGCUUGCUUCUCCAGGCUGCAGAGAGAAGACAGUUUCCUUCGCUGUCUAAAGUGACACCCUGGGAAGGGACGCUUACACACAAUGCUCCACAUACCAGUAGCUCCAGUAAGAAAAGUACUUGCUUGCUCCCUGCUGCCAACAGAAGAGAACUGUGUCCCUCUGGAACCUUCUAAGAGCUCUGUGAGAAUGAGUGUCUUUGGGAAUCUCAUAAAUCCUGUAGGCCAGUGCCUUAGGCUGAACUGAAAGCACCUACGUGG
rnacentral:lncRNA from 1 species